rnacentral:tRNA from 1 species
CCUGGUGGCUCAGAGGUUAAAGCAUCUGCCUGCAAUGCAGGGGACCUGGGUUCAAUCCCUGGGUCAGGA